UACAGAGGGGGCAAGCGUUGUCCGGAUUCAUUGGGCGUAAAGAGCGUGUAGGCGGCCAGGUAGGUCGGUUGUGAAAACUGGAGGCUCAACCUUCAGAGGUCGACCGAAACCAUCUGGCUAGAGUCCGGGAGAGGAGAGUGGAAUUCCUGGUGUAGCGGUGAAAUGCGCAGAUAUCAGGAAGAACACCCGUGGCUAAGGCGGCUCUCUAGUACGGUACUGACGCUGAGACGCGAAAGCGUGGGGAGCGAACAGG
rnacentral:rRNA from 1 species